CGCAAGCCUGACGGAGCAAGACCGCGUGAGGGAGGAAGGCUCUUGGGUUGUAAACCUCUUUUAUCAGGGAAGAACACAAUGACGGUACCUGAUGAAUCAGCAUCGGCUAACUCCGUGCCAGCAGCCGCGGUAAUACGGAGGAUGCAAGCGUUAUCCGGAUUUAUUGGGCGUAAAGCGUCCGCAGGUGGUUUAACAAGUCUGCUGUUAAAGGUCAGAGCUUAACUCUGUCACGGCGGUGGAAACUGUUAGACUUGAGUAUGGUAGGGGUUGCGGGAAUUCCCAGUGUAGCGGUGAAAUGCGUAGAUAUUGGGAAGAACACCAGCGGCGAAGGCGCGCAACUGGGCCAUUACUGACACUCAUGGACGAAAGC
rnacentral:rRNA from 1 species